rnacentral:lncRNA from 1 species
AGACUGGAAACAGGGGCUGGGAUGGUAGCUGGGGAUCUGGAACGUUGAAGAGGCAGAACUGGCAGGAAUGGGUAGGGAAAGUGUUUGGUAAAUAGCACCUUUGAAUCAGAACUGAGUAGUUAAGAAAUCCAGGAAAGGGGACUGGCAGUGGGGAGGAAGUUUUCUCCACAAGGGGCAAUGGCAGGAGGGUAGCCAGGUUGACCAGAUGUUCUAGCUCCAUCCUUCUUGAGAUGGUCUUGGGUUUGCGAUACUCAAGGCCUUCUGAGGACCCCUCACUAAUACCACUGAAAACCUGAAGGAAGAGGAUUUCUUCCCAGUGUAGUUUUGCAUUUUUCUGCAACCCAAAACAGUAAAGGUGCUCUGAGCACGGGGAAGAAAAAAACAAUGCCCAAGGUUUGGCUUUUAGUGUCAGCCCUACAAAAAUACCAAGUAGUCCUGCAGAACUUGGGGCAUUCUCCCAUUCGGCCAAGGAAUACUGCAAGGCUGAGGAUCCAGCCAUAGUCCCAAGGACAGAGGGAGAGAUGGUUCCCUAAGCCUGCCAAGGCACCAGAAGGUUGUAAGAGCCAGUUCUCCUCCAGACCCUCCUGGGACCCAAGAGGCCAUAUUGCACAGUGACUGAGAACUUUUGUCCUAGAAAACAGGGUAACUGCAUGACCCAACCAGGAGGGGAGAGGAGCAGGGAGAGUUAGAGAGGAGUGUUGUGCUUUUAAAAAGAAGGCAGUAAUCAAGGAUGUGGAGUUCCCUGUAACUUUUGAGCCACCUCUCCAAGGGAUAAUGGUAGCAUCGCCAGGACUUUCACGUAGUUCCAAAAAAAAAAAAAAAAAAAAAAAAUUACCACAUGUACACAUAGAGCAGCACAUAGCAAGGCAAAGAUUUCGUGCAGAGUACCCUUCUGUCCCAACUCCAAUAACCUGCAACCCCUGCCUCACUCCCCUGAACCCCCAAACAAAAAGCUUUAUAUUCUUGGUGGGUAGCAACAUCCAUAGGCCCCUGAGAAUAGAAUUAGAAAUAAGUCAUGAUUUUAAGAAAAACUGUUCAGGACAGAAGGAAUCAAGAGAGGCUUUUUCACUCUCUGCCUAGGAUCUCAUUAGAAAAAUAAAAGAGAAAGAUUAGGCAAUAUAGCAUAAUUUAAGUCCAGGUUUGAAUGCCCCUGAGUAAGAGAGGGGCUGGGGAUGCAGGUGUCCUGGUUAGAAGAGGGAGAGGUUAGAACUCAGCCUCUCUUCUCCAUCCAGGACAGAUCCUGACCUCUCUCAUUCACAGUUGCUAACCUUGCUUGCUCCUUCUCACAACUUCCUGGGGUGCUAGCCAAGCCUCUCCCCCAUCACCUUGACCAGACCCGCCCCCUGAACUUUCCCCCCUCCCAUAGGCAGACACUGGCUCCCAGACUCAAGCGCACAACGAUUCUCUCCAAAGGCACCUGGGGAGGCCACUUCCAAGCAGCUCCCUUUAAGGAUUUUUUUCUUAAAAAAAAUCUUUUGGUUUUUUUUUUU